AGCGUUGUUCGGAAUCACUGGGCGUAGAGGGCGCGUAGGCGGCCUUGCAAGUCGGUUGGUGAAAGCCCGGGGCUCAACCCCGGAGGUGCGGCCGAGACUGCGAGGCUGGAGGCCGGAAGAGGAGGGUGGAAUACCCAGUGUAGAGGUGAAAUUCGUAGAUAUUGGGUGGAACACCGGUGGCGAAAGCGGCUCUCUGGUCCGGACCUGACGCUGAGGUGCGAAAGCGUGGGGAGCAAACAGG
rnacentral:rRNA from 1 species